GGGGUUGUAGCUCAAUGGUAGAGCACUCACCCAGCACAUGUGAGGCCCUGGGUUUGAUUCUCAGCACCACA
rnacentral:tRNA from 1 species